rnacentral:rRNA from 1 species
GACGAACGCUGGCGGCGUGCCUAAUACAUGCAAGUCGAGCGAAGUUUUUCUGGUGCUUGCACUAGAAAAACUUAGCGGCGAACGGGUGAGUAACACGUAAAGAACCUGCCUCAUAGACUGGGACAACUAUUGGAAACGAUAGCUAAUACCGGAUAACAGUAUUUCUCGCAUGAGAGAUAUUUAAAAGUUGGUUAUGCUAACACUAUGAGAUUGCUUUGCGGUGCAUUAGCUAGUUGGUGGGGUAAAGGCCCACCAAGGCGACGAUGCAUAGCCGACCUGAGAGGGUGAUCGGCCACACUGGAACUGAGACACGGCCCAGACUCCUACGGGAGGCAGCAGUGGGGAAUCUUCCGCAAUGGGCGAAAGCCUGACGGAGCAACGCCGCGUGAGUGAAGAAGGAUUUCGGUUCGUAAAGCUCUGUUGUUAGGGAAGAAUGGAUAUGUAGUAACUAUACAUGUUAGAGACGGUACCUAAACAGAAAGCCACGGCUAACUACGUG